CACAACCUGACGACGCAGAAACAACAACGAUAAGACAAUACUGAGAUCGUCAACGAGACGUUAUGGUAAAAAAAAUGAGAUCCCGAACUUAUCGGAAGGAACUUGGAUCGGCCCGAAGGUGUCCCUCUCCUCCCUAAACGACGUCGAAUAAGAUCUCAGAGCAGUGGCGUAACGCAGCGUCGCCGCGGUUGUUCUGGCGGAAAGCCGCCGUGACGCGACGUAAAUCGCCAUGGGGUUCUUCUUCUGCCUAACAGUAGACGAGGGAAGAAGAGUUCAUCAGAUUAAGCAUUUCUCAGAUCAGAAGAACACUGCGACUUGACGAAUCUGUAAACGUACCUUGGGAGACGAGAUGGUGGAGUGUUGCGCGAUUGACGACGUUGCAGAAGAUAGGGCAAACAGAAUGGCAAAUUAUUAUAUUCCAGAAAUGAUUCAACGAACCAGCUCAACUUGGUUGGUCCAAUUUUGAAAAGUAUUGUAUUGGGGCGAUAAAACUAUUUUCUAUAGUAUUAAUAAUGCCUUUUCUAUCAGAUGAUAAUUCUUUUUGACAAUAUUCUAAUAAAAUCACUUUUUCAUUUUUCAUAUUUUAUUUAUGGCAUGGAAGAUGAUCAGAAGAUAGCCAAAGUUGGUAAUUAAUUAGAAAAAUGCAUUAACCAAAUAUCCUGGUCUGUGAUUUGAAAGAAACAUGCCAGUUUUAAGUUUUAACUAUGCAAAUCAAGGAGAAAAUUAAAAAAAAAAAACUCCAAAACAUUAUAUAAAAACUCUCAAGCAAUAGGGUUACAUACAAAUCUCGUUACAUUGAAGAACAGAAACAAAAAACCCAAGAAAAAGAAGAAGAGCAACAAAAGAAGAAACUAUUGCUGCAUUGUGUAGCUACCAACCAUUGUCUGUGUUAUAUAUAUAUAUAUAUAUAGAAACAUGCACAGCCAGAAAAGAGAAGAAGAAACAAUGAAGAAACCAGAGUGGAAGAAAAUAAUCAAAUAAAGAACCAGGUGUCGACUGUAUUGUAUAUAUUUAUGCGUGUGUGAAUGAAUGGUCUUUCAACGUCUGACGCUUGCCUUUCGCUUCAUAUCAGCAGCAAGACCAACCUGUUUCGUGCCACGAGAACCAUUCACUAAAGGACGUGUCACCGUGUUUGAGUUCCUUUUAAAGAAAAACUGUUAACAGAGAUUCUGUAUUCUUGUUUCACAAAGGAGUUUCAAUGUAGUAGGUGUUAAAAGAACCUGAGUUGAGGACUUCUUAUCGGUCUUGAGACAGGUUUCUUUGCUUUUGUUGACUCAAUAGUGCUUGUUGUCGAUGACAUCUUGGAAGCGGUUUGGUUAUAUUGCCAGAGCAAGUCUGGCUCAGAUGACUCACUUGUGGCUGCAUCUAGAUCGUCUGCGCUGUUGUUGUUUCCCAUGAAGAUAUUGUAAGAAUGUUCAGAGAAUAUUCUUGAACUGUCUGAAGACACAUCUCUCCUGUAAAAAUCUUCCGGCAGAACACUUAUCCCAUUGUCUGUCAUUCCUCCUCCCCAAAGACUCUCCACUCUCCUCAUCUCGUCUUGCCUGUUAUUCACCAUUACCUUAUCAACCCAUUCACUUGAACCGAAACUUGGGUCUUCCUCUCUGUAGGUUUGGCCUGGACUUGCUACCGGUGGCCAAGGUGGUGAGUUCACUGUAAUCUCCUCCACUUCACAGCUUUCUGACUUCUUUGUCAUGAUGCUACUGUUAUGAAUCUGCAAUCACAAUAUCCAAUUUGAGACAUGGUUUUUAAAUCAGAAGACUGAGUUUGAGAAGAGCGUUGAAUCACCUCUACUUCACUAGUUCUGGCUUUGUGUUUCUCAGAGCCACCAGGAGUCGUUAAUAUAUUGUUCUGUUGUGAACCUGCUUCUUUUCUAGCGAGUGCUGCUUUAAGAGUAGCAAUCUAUUAACAAAGCAAAGCCCAGGCAUGAGUCAGUUUAAUCUACUAUCAGCCAAGAAACUAAAGACCAUGAGAUUCAGUUAGAGCAUACAAGACCUGUUCUUUGAGUUCCUUAACAUCUGAAGUGUCAUUGUUUACUCGGGCAGCACCAAGCUCAACUGUAGCUACUCUCUCCGCAAACUUCAAAGUGCUUAUUGUUUCCCCAACUGCAUCUACUUCAGGACUAAUGUGCACAAACAUCAAUGUCUUUGCUUGUCCUCCUGAUAUAACAUAUUUGCAAUCCCAAAUUAAGAACAAAGCGAGUUCUAAGCUGCAAAUAUAUGGGAAUAAACUACUUAUAUUCUUUACCAAGAGAAUCCUGAAGGAGUUGUGUGAGUUUGCUGUUUCUGUAAGGAACAUGCGGGUUCUUGUGAGCUAGUGAAGCAAUCACAUCUCCUAAAGCAGAUAGAGAUUUGUUGAUGUGCUGUGCUUCUUUUAGUCUGUCGCCAGUAACUUCGGAUUUAUCUACCCUUUCACUGCCUGCUAGAUCCACAAGAUGCAUACAUCCACGAAGAACAGCUCCUGAAGUCAAGUCUCUUCCUUGAACAUGAACCGUCAAGCAACUGCAAGAAAAUUGACAAUACUUUGCAUAAGACAUCUAAAGAUAAAUGGGUUCUUUCUCUGCUCUUGAAAAUAUUUUUCCCAUUUACCUAUGAGAACGGCUGCUUCUAUCAUUCAAGGCUGUUGAUCCAACAGCACGAUUCUUAUGCCCAAGUUUCAUUAGAUCAAUCACAUCAUAUGUUGAAGAAACCGGCACAAGACUUGCAUCCGGUACACUUAGACCCUUUUGAGAGCUAUUCCUGAUCUCUAACGUAUCAAAAACGUUAAGGAACACGAAAAUAAAACAUAUAAAAUGAACUCUCUCUCUCUCUCUCAAAUCAGAAGAUUAAGAAGCUAAAGAAAAGGAUAUCUUUUGUUGCUUCCAUCAAUAACCAGAAGGUCUCUGACUUGCUCAUUGUAAAUUUCAAUCAUCUGAACAGCAAUAUCAUAACGGAAUGUGUCUUUUCUUUGUUCAGCAAGAAGAAACAGAUCACCAAGUGCUCUGUAGUUAACUCCUUGACUCUUCUCCGUUAUAUCUCUUGGUCCACUCUAGAGGAAUUAUACAAAGGGGAAAAACAUAUAAGAUCUCUUACAUUCAUUCAAAAAUGUCACAAUCUUCCAACUAUAAUCUUACCAUUGUGAAUGUUUUUCCUGAUCCAGUUUGACCAUAUGCAAAUAUGCAGACAUUGUAUCCAUCAAGAACAGAACGGACCAAUGGCUGCAUAUCAGAGAAUACCUCCUCUACAAAAGAACAAGAAAGAACCUUCAGAAUCAACUCAAUCACUGGAGAUUAAGAGAGAGGCAUUUUAGUUUCUUUACCUUGAGUCGCAGAUGGGCCAAAGACUUUAUUAAAACUGAAGGAUUUGAGUGAUUUUCCAUGUCUUGAUGCAGUGUUAAUCCCUAUGCUAUCGUCCUGCAUGCUCCCAAUUGUACUGGAAAAGCUGGAUUGUCCAGGCAAAAAUGGUCGUACACGACAAUACACACGGAUGCUACCCUUGAGGUCCUGCACCUGAUUGUACAGCUUUCGGUUUUCUUCAAGAACUCGGUGAUAGCCAGAAGCAGCAUGAGCUAGGCCAUGAAUGUGCAUGCCUGUGGACAUAUAUUGAUCCAUUAAUUUCAAAUUAUUGGAUAAUCAAAACUAUCUCAGAAAGUAAGAGAAUAAAGAUGUGAAUACCAAGAGAAGAGAACUCUUCUUGAAACUUCUUCUGCAUAAAUUUCAUACCAGCUUUUGUAGUGUAGAGUGUCUGCCUUAGUCCCUAUAAAACAUAAAGAGCAGUGGACACACUCAGAAUCUGUGGUAUGGUAUCUUAAACUCGAAGACAGCUUGAAAUGGAGUAGUUGAGUGCUUACUUCUAUAUCUUCUUGCUGCUGGUUGAAGAUUGUCAAUUGUUUACAUUGUCGAUUUUUCAUCUCUUCAUCAAGAAUCUGGCUUUUUUUAUUGGUUUCGUCUUUCUUUAUUGCUUUGAAACUCUUCUCUUCCCUCUACAAAGAGGCAUCAGCAAUCAGUGAAAUUCUCAAACCUAUCUUUUACAGAAAAGGUGUGAAGACUUUACCUCUCUUGCACCAACAGGUUUAUGAAAUGAUCUGCUGUUAAGUGAAGAAGUUGAUUCUGAUGGGGCUGCUUUGGCCUUCAUGUGACAGAAAUAUUUUGAUUAGAAGAGUUUUGACACAACCGAAAAACAUAUUUUGUGAACCAAGUGACAGAAGAAAGUUAAAAACAUACCAACUUAUACUGGUUUGUAACUCGAUUUUCAAACUCCUCGACAACUUUGCUUAGCAGAGAUUCAAUCAGCUGUUAUCACAACAUUAGGCCGUUAGAUUAAGAACAUAACAAAGCCACAUUACUUAAAGUAACCAGAAGAAACAGAAAGGCCAAAGUUAUAUAACUUAGAAAUUAAGUGAAGUCAUUUGAUACUCACUUUGGGCACUUCCUCAGGCCUUUUCGAUUUGUCGAGCGAUCGUCUCCUCUCAUCUCAUUUCUUCAAAUUUCUUCACUAUUCUUCAUCGAUUCGAGUAGAGAGUGUCUCCUCCACGUUAAUAGGUGAGUAUCGAGUGGAUUCGCCUAUACAUCUUUGCGUUUCAGUUCGAUUAGUGGGAUUUUAAAAUUAGGGUUCGUAUACAAUUUUGGGGGUUUUCGAUUCUAGGUUUUAAAUCGUCUUCUGGGUUUCAUAUAGGGGUAGAUCGAAGCAUUUCGUUGUAGAUUAGUGUGAUUUUCAAAAUAGGGUUCAUAUUCAAAUUUGGGGGUAUUCGAUUGUAGGUUAUAAAUGGGCAUCUGGGUGCCAAAAUCAAUAACACAGAGCCUCAACAAAUAAUUAGUAGGAACAACAAACAGUGCAAGCAAUUGAGAGCGAAAGCUUACAGUAGGGAAAGUGUCGUUAGAGGAUUGAGAUCUGUUGACAUGGUCAUUAGGGUGGACACAUUUUUCACCACGUUUGCGACCAAGAAUCUCAGCUGCUCUGUUAGCAAUGACCUGCAGAAUUUUAAAAGAGCAAAACAUAAACACAAUGCCUCCUUGUAUGUAUUGUACGACUAAACAAUGAGAGAAGGAAGAAAGUGACCUCAUUAGCAUUCAUGUUACUCUGAGUGCCACUACCAGUUUGCCAAACAACAAGGGGGAAAUGAUCAUUGAGCUUUCCCUCAGCAACUUCCUGAGCAGCUUGCAUAAUCGCUUUCCCAAUCGUUGGAUCAAGUCCAUACUCCAUGUUUACCUAAAAUCAAUCAGCUCAUCAGUCAUCACCAACCCAAAACGACAACGCUUAGAUGCAAAAUCUCCAAAACCUUUAAGAGUAUAAUAGGUGUACCUUGGCAGCGCACUUCUUCAAGACGCCAAAAGCGCGGACGAUUGGCUCGGGCAUACGCUCGCGCUCGCCGCCGAUCUCGAAGUUCUGCAGCGAUCUCUGCGUCUGGGCUCCCCACAACCUGACGACGCAGAAACAACAACGAUAAGACAAUACUGAGAUCGUCAACGAGACGUUAUGGUAAAAAAAAUGAGAUCCCGAACUUAUCGGAAGGAACUUGGAUCGGCCCGAAGGUGUCCCUCUCCUCCCUAAACGACGUCGAAUAAGAUCUCAGAGCAGUGGCGUAACGCAGCGUCGCCGCGGUUGUUCUGGCGGAAAGCCGCCGUGACGCGACGUAAAUCGCCAUGGGGUUCU
rnacentral:lncRNA from 1 species